UUUGCAUGAUGAUAACCUUACAUCAGUUCUGCUUCUGAACCAAAAAUCCAGGAAGAUAACCUAUUUACCAAAGCUCAAAAAUCUGAAUA
rfam:Lachancea thermotolerans CBS 6340 chromosome G complete sequence.